GCCGCAUGAUGCCAUGUAGAUUGCAUGAGCAUUUUUGUGCCGAGAUGACCUCCUAUCUAUCACCCAAGACUGAUGGCU